AUUGAACGCUGGCGGCAUGCUUUACACAUGCAAGUCGAACGGCAGCACGGGGGCAACCCUGGUGGCGAGUGGCGAACGGGUGAGUAAUGCAUCGGAACGUACCCAGUCGUGGGGGACAACGUAGCGAAAGUUACGCUAAUACCGCAUACGACCUGAGGGUGAAAGCAGGGGAUCGCAAGACCUUGCGCGAUUGGAGCGGCCUACGUGGGAUUAGCUAGUUGGUGAGGUAAUGGCUCACCAAGGCGACGAUCUCUAUCUGGUUUGAGAGGAUGAUCAGCCACACUGGAACUGAGACACGGUCCAGACUCCUACGGGAGGCAGCAGUGGGGAAUUUUGGACAAUGGGCGAAAGCCUGAUCCAGCAAUGCCGCGUGUGUGAAGAAGGCCUUCGGGUUGUAAAGCACUUUUGUCCGGAAAGAAAUGGCUCUGGUUAAUACCUGGGGUCGAUGACGGUACCGGAAGAAUAAGGACCGGCUAACUACGUGCCAGCAGCCGCCGUAACAC
rnacentral:rRNA from 1 species